rnacentral:rRNA from 1 species
GACAGAGGAGGCAAGCGUUGUUCGGAAUCAUUGGGCUUAAAGCGCGCGUAGGCGGCCUUGUACGUGUCUUGUGAAAUCCCACGGCUCACCCGUGGAACUGCAGGGCAAACUGCAAGACUUGAGGUCGGUAGAGGCGCCUGGAACUCUCGGUGGAACGGUGAAAUGCGUAGAUAUCUAGGGGAACGCCGGAGGCGAAAGCGGGGCGCUGGGCCGAUUCUGGCGCUGAUGCGCGAAAGCGUGGGGAGCAAAGAGG